AAAGAGCAGUGCUUGCUGAGUAAUUAAUGCCAAAAAGACAUCUUAUCUCAACAUUGUUUUUUUCUCUCUCUCUCUCUCUUACAGAUGGCGAUGUCAUAAUGUAAAUACUUUUGUAACUACCAAUAAUGAAUACACCAAUUAUAAUAGAAGUAUUUUCUCUAAUGAUCGAAUUAUUUAUUUUGAUAUGGAUUUACCUUAUUUUUCUAAAAAAGCAAUGAAAACUGAGUUUAAUCGAAAGCGGAAAGCAAGUAUGGUUGAAGAUUAUGUAGAUGACGAUGAUGAGAGCAGAGACUGGUGGACUAAAUAUUUCGCAUCUGUGGAAGCUACGAUCGAGGAAGGUAAAGAGGCAAGAAAGGAAAAUGUAUUGCAGACCAAUGGUGGACUUUACGCUGAUCACCCUGAUGCUGCUCAGCCAAAAAAUACAAAGCAUAAUAAAUUAGGCCCCAGCACAGCUGCCAAAUUAGUCGCUAAAUUGAGUCCGAAAACAAUCCAACGGAAGCAAGCGAAAAAAAUUGCAAAAAUAAAGGCAAGUACUCGAACAUCUUCCUCCGUGCUAGAACAACGCCGUAUGAGGCAUCAGGCGUUGCCAAAUUACCUCCGAAAAACGACGAAUUUUCAGGAAAAUUUG
rnacentral:lncRNA from 1 species